rnacentral:misc_RNA from 1 species
GUAGGUGAACCUGCGGAAGGAUCAUUACAAUUCAGUAGCUUGCUACUGUCAGGAGGUGCUGUAAGCCCGCAUAGUUUAAUUACUGAUGAGCGGCAGGCCCUCUGUCUGUACCCUUGUCUUUUGCGCACUCAUGUUUCCUCGGCGGGCUUGCCCGCCGAUUGGACAAAACUAUAACCUUUUUAAUUUUCAAUCAGCGUCUGAAAAAACUUAAUAAUUACAACUUUCAACAACGGAUCUCUUGGUUCUG